UUCACUCUCGGCUCUGCUAAUAUCCUGCUAGCAGCGGACUCUUUUAGCUUCUUUGAGCAUUCCUUCAAUGUAUUUCGGGUCGUCUGCAAUGUACGAAGACCUGUGCUCAGAGUGUUAGUUUCUUCAGAUUUGACAGAUGAAAUGGAUGUAAAAUGCUCAAUGGAAUGCCCGGUGCAUAAUAACCCCCGAAAUAACCAUUAUCAUUUAUUAGUUACUAUUUUUAUUUUAAAUACAACAAAUUUAUGAAGUAAAAGUAAUCCCAUUGUAAAAUGAGGAAAAUGAGACCGAGACGUUAAGGAGCUGAAUUUCGCACAGAUGAUAAAUGAUGGCAGUGGGAUUUGAACACAGGUAGUCCUUUUAAUUCAGUACUGUCUCCCAAAUUGUAGAUAUCCCAACAUUAUGUAGGCACAAUUAAGGAAUACGUGUUGUAGUGUAGUUGCAAACUAGGGUGGCACAUUAUUACUAAGAUGCUUGAGUAUCUAUUGAAAAUUUUAAGUACAAAAGACAUCAGAGGAGAAUUUUUUGUGGCUUUUGCAGGUUCUGAUUGUAACUGUCUCAGCUUAAGAGGCGAGGAAAUGAGAACUAAGAAGCACGUUUUUCACCUUGGUGCAGGUUGGUUGUCUUCAGAGAGCCUUCUCCUUGCUUGUACGAACACAGUCAUCAGAUCUUCUGGAGUUCUGUUUAAAUCAGGUGAAAAGGAAAACCACAGCAAUAUUUUUCUUUUGAUAAGAAUAUAUCAGAUAUACUUCAAAAACUCAACAGCCUAUUACUUUUGAGAUGAUCUUAGGGGAUUCUAGUGGCUCAGUGGAUAGGAGUCUGUUUGCCAAUUCAGGAAACAUGGGUUCGAUCCCUGAUCUGGGAAGAUCCCACAUGCUGUGGAGCAACUAAGCCUGUGGACCACAGCUACUGAGCCCCUACGCUCUACAGCUUGGGAGCUGCAAAUACUGAGCCCAUUUCCCCUGGAACCUGUGCUUCUGCAGCAAGAAAAGCCACUGCAAUGAGAAUCCUGUGUACCACAACUGAAGAGUAGACCCUGCUUGCCACAACUAGAGAAAAGCCCUGCAGUAAUGAAGAUCCAGCACAGCCAAAAAUAAACAAGUAAAGAUUUUUUUAAAAAAGAUGAUU
rnacentral:lncRNA from 1 species